rnacentral:rRNA from 1 species
GACGAACGCUGGCGGCGUGCCUAAUACAUGCAAGUCGAGCGCAGGAAGCCGUCUGAACCCUUCGGGGGGACGACGGUGGAAUGAGCGGCGGACGGGUGAGUAACACGUAAAGAACCUGCCCAUAGGUCUGGGAUAACCACGAGAAGUCGGGGCUAAUACCGGAUGUGUCAUCGGACCGCAUGGUCCGCUGAUGAAAGGCGCCCCGGCGCCGCCCCUGGAUGGCUUUGCGGUGCAUUAGCUAGUUGGUGGGGUAACGGCCCACCAAGGCGACGAUGCAUAGCCGACCUGAGAGGGUGAUCGGCCACACUGGGACUGAGACACGGCCCAGACUCCUACGGGAGGCAGCAGUAGGGAAUCUUCCACAAUGGACGAAAGUCUGAUGGAGCAACGCCGCGUGAACGAUGAAGGCUUUCGGGUCGUAAAGUUCUGUUGUAAGGGAAGAACAAGUGCCGCAGGCAAUGGCGGCACCUUGACGGUACCUUGCAAGAAAGCCACGGCUAACUACGUGCCAGCAGCCGCAGUAAGAC